GAUUGAACGCUGGCGGCAUGCCUUACACAUGCAAGUCGAACGUGAAAGGGGGGCAACCCCCGAGUAGAGUGGCGGACGGGUGAGUAACACAUCGGAACGUACCCAGUAGUGGGGGACAACCUCGAGAAAUCGAGGCUAAUACCGCAUACGACCCACGGGUGAAAGCGGGGGACCGCAAGGCCUCGCGCUAUUGGAGCGGCCGAUGUCCGAUUAGCUUGUUGGCGGGGUAAGAGCCCACCAAGGCGACGAUCGGUAGCUGGUCUGAGAGGAUGAUCAGCCACACUGGGACUGAGACACGGCCCAGACUCCUACGGGAGGCAGCAGUGGGGAAUUUUGGACAAUGGGGGCAACCCUGAUCCAGCCAUGCCGCGUGCGGGAAGAAGGCC
rnacentral:rRNA from 1 species